GCAUCGGUGGGGCAUAGGCGGCCCGCGGCCUCUUCAUAGUGCUGCCCUCACCACUUGAUUGAUGGCCGAGAUCGGGGUUCGACUCCCCGUCGAUGCA